rnacentral:rRNA from 1 species
UACAGAGGGUGCAAGCGUUUGUUCGGAAUUAUUGGGCGUAAAGCGCGUGUAGGCGGCUUUGCAAGUCGGGUGUGAAAGCCCUCAGCUCAACUGAGGAAGUGCGCCCGAAACUGCAGAGCUUUGAGUACCGGAGAGGAUGGUGGAAUUCCCAAGUAGAGGUGAAAUUCGUAGAUAUGGGGAGGAACACCGGUGGCGAAGGCGACCAUCUGGACGGAUACUGACGCUGAGACGCGAAAGCGUGGGGAGCAAACAGG